CAACUACUUGUCUUCAUUCUUCACGGUGAAAACUACCUUUUGAAGAAUAGCCUUCACCAGCAUAUGUGCUUAAAUGGGACAUGCUUUCAUGCAGAAAAUCCUCCAGAUAAGUGAGGGAUAAUGCCCUCUUCAGAUGCAGUGUCACAGCAGCGUACAGUACUGAGAGGUGCACUUCAUUCCUGCACGAUGGAGCCGGGCAGCUCAUUGGUCAGCGUGUGCCAGCGCUCCACUUUCUUGCCCUUGUUCUUCAGACAGUCUAUCCAGUGCUGUAAGGUCUCCCCCUGCGAGUGGCACCCUAAGGACACGCCCCCUUACCACCAUGGAAACACAUUAGGACAAAGGGCAGACAAAGACAAGAAACAGGUGGUGUAGCCACCUCUCAUCUCAGUCACCUGGGAUAGACUCCAGCCUCCCUGUGUCCCUGAAGUACUAUAGAAAAUUAAUUCAUGAACAGACAGACAGAUAGCAUCAUCACCUCUCUCAAGUAACAGGAGAUUCCUCUGAGGGCCGUGCUCAUCGCUGUGGGUGAGGGCAGCUGUAGGUGGAGAAAAAAGAAGGAGACACCUGGCGGUGGAUGCUCCAGACAGAUGUUAAAAUGCUUGAUCUGGUCGGGCUUGACGCGACGCAGUGCAAUCCGCGACUCUCCGAUGAACUCAUUAUGCGUCAGCUUGUCUUCGUCACACACAGACACCCUGGUGUUGAGACACGGAGGAGGAGGAAGGAAAGCAUUUCAUUGGCCAUUGCUGCCACCAGAAGAAGGCUCCCUCUGGCUCCCUCUGGUGGACAGCUGAAUGAAUCAUUGCAGCGCCCCGGCAGCACCGCCCCUCCUACCGACGUGGUUGCUAGUAGCAUCCUCCCGACGCCGGCCAUAGCCGCUACUUCCCUUUGCGAGCCUAGCAUUCCUCACCCACAGCAUUUUUGUGGUGAGUUAGCCGCAAUUUCUGCACCAAUGUUCACUACUUUUUGAUCACCCUGUACCUAUUCCUCUGACUAAGUCAAGGUUUCGUUUGUUAUGAGCUGGGGCCCGAUCAGGCUGCCGCUUGGGCAGUGGCGGUAAGCAAGGUUCACCCUGACGUUUGCACAUCUCCUCCCCUUUUUGAGGGGAACACCCAGAACACCAUUCCUGUGUGGAUGAAAGGCUGGAAAGAUAAAAAAAACUUUGCCAUUUUGACCUGAAAAUGUUUUCAUCUGGAUAGCCCCUUACUUUGUCCUUCUUCUACACUCUGAUUGAAACCCUUUCUUACGUCUAGAAGAAAUAAAUUUGAGGUUAACUAGUUAGCUUGGUAGCAUGCUUAAAGUGCAUGUUUAAAUUGAGCAAUGUCUUGUAAACAAAGAAUAAUAGGCGUGUAAAGGUGACUAUAGGGGUGUUUUUUCAUGUCUACAGGGCUCUAAUGAUGUUAAAAAUUGUAUUUAAAAAGUGAUAAACAGGUUUUGUAUGUUCU